AGUGAAAGACAUGCAGUCAGACCUUUCUAUUUCAUUCGUGCUAAGCAAUUAAUAGAGAAGUCAAAACUUAAUAUCUAGAAGGGGGAAAUAUAAACCGCUAAACAGGAUGAAUUCUUUAAAUAGGCCAUAUUUUCCCAUUUAUUUUAAAUAGUCUUACUUUUUCUGACUUUUAGUUUGAUCCCUGAACGUCUCUUGAAUUUUAUUUUCACUUUCCUCAUUGUGACGCAGUUCAGAUUUGCCGCAUAAGCCUCAAUCUGUGGUGAGUGGAGCGAGCGCCACCUAGUGGGAGCAUGGAUCAGUGCGAGGACAGAGAGGACACAGUCCUUCCCUCCAAAAUGUCUCUCAUUAGGGGACAUGAGGACCAGAGGAAGCUAUCAGAACCAGAACCAGAACCAGAACCGAGAUCCAGCUGUGUUUCCUUCAGCAGUAACAACUCAAAGAGGAAUCACACAGCUGAGCCCAGCUGUGUGUCAUGGAAGAGCAACCAGUCCAAGGACAUUAUUAUUCUGUUUAAAUCAGACCAGCCUCCAGCAGCAAAGAGGUGAGCUGGCUCUAAAGGUUCUGCUCAAUGUUCUGCUAUAUAUAU